rnacentral:rRNA from 1 species
UACGUAGGGUGCAAGCGUUAAUCGGAAUUACUGGGCGUAAAGCGUGCGCAGGCGGUUUUGUAAGUCUGUCGUGAAAGCCCCGGGCUCAACCUGGGAAUUGCGAUGGAGACUGCAAGGCUUGAAUUUGGCAGAGGGGGGUAGAAUUCCGCGUGUAGCAGUGAAAUGCGUAGAGAUGUGGAGGAACACCGAUGGCGAAGGCAGCCCCCUGGGUCAAGAUUGACGCUCAUGCACGAAAGCGUGGGGAGCAAACAGG